AUUGAACGCUGGCGGCAGGCUUAACACAUGCAAGUCGAGCGAGCGGCGGACGGGUGAGUAAUGUCUGGGAAACUGCCUGAUGGAGGGGGAUAACGACUGGAAACGGUAGCUAAUACCGCAUACCAUCAGCUGUUCCCAGAUGGGCUUAGCUAGUAGGUGGGGAAAUGGCUCACCUAGGCGACGAUACCUAGCUGGUCGGAGAGGAUGACCAGCCACACUGGAACUGAGACACGGUCCAGACUCCUACGGGAGGCGACAGUGGGGAAUAUAGCGCAAUGGUGGCAACCCUGACGCAGCCAUGCCGCGUGAAUGAAGAAGGCCUUCGGGUUGUAAAGUUCUUUCGGUAGCGAGGCGUUAACUACAGAAGAAGCACCGGCUAACUCCGUGCCAGCAGCCGCGGUAAUAC
rnacentral:rRNA from 1 species